UACGGAGGAUGCGAGCGUUAUCCGGAUUUAUUGGGUUUAAAGGGUGCGUAGGCGGGAUGCCAAGUCAGCGGUAAAAAUGCGGUGCUCAACGCCGUCGAGCCGUUGAGACUGGCGUUCUUGAGUGGGCGAGAAGUAUGCGGAAUGCGUGGUGUAGCGGUGAAAUGCAUAGAUAUCACGCAGAACCCCGAUUGCGAAGGCAGCAUGCCGGCUUCCGACUGACGCUGAAGCACGAAAGCGUGGGGAUCGAACAGG
rnacentral:rRNA from 1 species